GCUGGGCAUGGUGGCGCACGCCUGUAAUCCCAGCUACUUGGGAGGCUGAGGCAGGAGAAUCACUUGAACCCAGGAGGCAGAGACUGCAGUGAGCUUAGAUCACACCACUGCACUCUAGCCUGGGUGACAGAGUGAGACUCCAUCUCAA
ensembl:misc_RNA Metazoa_SRP Metazoan signal recognition particle RNA